rnacentral:rRNA from 1 species
AGAGUUUGAUUCUGGCUCAGGACGAACGCUGGCGGCACGCUUAACACAUGCAAGUCGAACGGAGCUAUUUGAGUUACUUGGAGUAGCUUAGUGGCGGACGGGUGAGUAACACGUGAGCAACCUGCCUUUGAGAGAGGGAUAGCUUCUGGAAACGGAUGGUAAUACCUCAUAACAUAUUCUUAGGGCAUCCUUAGGAUAUCAAAGAUUUAUCACUCAAAGAUGGGCUCGCGUCUGAUUAGAUAGUUGGUGAGGUAACGGCUCACCAAGUCGACGAUCAGUAGCCGGACUGAGAGGUUGAACGGCCACAUUGGGACUGAGACACGGCCCAGACUCCUACGGGAGGCAGCAGUGGGGAAUAUUGCACAAUGGGGGAAACCCUGAAUGCAGCGAUGCCGCGUGGAGGAAGAAGGUUUUCGGAUUGUAAACUCCUGUCUUAAAGGACGAUAAUGACGGUACUUUAGGAGGAAGCUCCGGCUAACUACGUGCCAGCAGCUGC